UACGUAGGGUGCAGGCGUUAAUCGGAAUUACUGGGCGUAAAGCGUGCGCAGGCGGUCUUUUAAGUCAGAUGUGAAAUCCCCGGGCUUAACCUGGGAACUGCGUUUGAAACUGGAAGGCUAGAGUGUGGCAGAGGGGGGUGGAAUUCCACGUGUAGCAGUGAAAUGCGUAGAGAUCGGGAGGAACAUCAGUUGCGAAGGCGGCCACCUGGACCAGCACUGACACUGAGGCACGAAAGCGUGGGGAGCAAACAGG
rnacentral:rRNA from 1 species